rnacentral:rRNA from 1 species
GACGAACGCUGGCGGCGUGCUUAACACAUGCAAGUCGAGCGGUAAGGCCCUUUCGGGGGUACGACGAGCGGCGAACGGGUGAGUAACACGUGGGUGACCUGCCCUCCAGCUCUGGGAUAAGCCUGGGAAACCGGGUCUAAUACUGGAUAUGACUCCAUGACGCAUGUUGUGGGGUGGAAAGCCUUGUGCGGCUGAGGAUGGGCCCGCGGCCUAUCAGCUUGUUGGUGGGGUGAGGCCUACCAAGGCGACGACGGGUAGCCGGCCUGAGAGGGCGACCGGCCACACUGGGACUGAGACACGGCCCAGACUCCUACGGGAGGGCAGCAGUGGGGAAUCUUGCGCAAUGGGCGAAAGCCUGACGCAGCGACGCCGCGUGAGGGAUGACGGCCU